UCGUGGGCGGCGGAGCGGUGGGGGGGAGGGGGGAGAUGCAGGGGUGGCGGCCGCACGCCCUGCAGCCCGAUCUGGCGGCGGCGCCGGUGCCGGCACGCGCCCUAGUUUAGCCACUGGACUGGCGACCUUCUCGAGCAGCAGGGGCGUUCAUGUACUAAUUUCUAAUGCCAGGCAUUUGCGGUUCGUUUUUUUGGGGGGUAAUCUUAGUUGUUCGUCUAGAUGUAGUGUAGAGUUGCAUGUGCUUGUCUUCGCCGUGCGCUCGGUUGGUUUAUCAGCAAAGUUAAGAUGCGCAGCCAAUAGUUCAUUAGUUACGAUUUUCUGGCAGUUUACAGCGGUUGUAUUUUCGGCGUAUAGUUAGUCAGGCGUAACUUUCUGCCCUGUAAUGCUGUUCUUUCUUACAAUCUUCUGUCCAUGUAUGUUGUGUGCCUUCCCCUCUAUUUCCACUGUUCUAUUGUGUAAUUGUCCUGUCACUAAAAUUGAGUUUUGUCUCUCAUGUUCUGAAUUUCCUCUUUUUCCUGCACUUUUGCUUCACGGUUCAUUGUAAUUUCAAUAGCAUUUCUGCGGCUGUUGUUGACCAUCUUUCAAGUUUAUUUUUGUACUAGUAUUUGAGAUCUGUCCAUCAUUUACUAUCAUGUGGAACUCUUUUCACAGUUAAAAUGACCAUGAUUCACUGUGUCCAGUAGUCGGGUUUAAAGUUUGCUUACAGCUCUAGUACACUUCUAUUACACUUACUGAGGACUUGUAUUUCUUCUUUUUAGGUCAGUGUAAUUUGGUAUUCUCUGUGUUUUGUUGUUCCUAUGAUCUGUCGCUCUGUCAGCCUUUGUAAUUUGCGCCUAUGUUAUGUUACAGUACCUGACGACGUUAACUGUAACUCCCUUUCCUUAGAACUGUAACUACUGUAGUAACACAUCCUUUUUCAUUGUCUAAGUUGGGUAAUUUCAUACCCUUAUUCCUUCUAUAAUUUCUUCCCUGCAUGUGAAUGUAUAGCACACAGAUGUACAAGACUUUUUUUUUACAGUCCUCUAGUAACCGAGUUACUCUUGUGUGUUUGUUCCUAUACUGUAAUUGUUUCGGCGCACACUACCAUGACUUAAUGUUUACAAUAGCUGUUUGCUUUGACUCUGAUAGUCGUUGUAUGUUUUCUUCAGAGGUACUAUUGGUUGCUUGCAGAUGGAUGCUGACCAAAGCUUCUUGGACACCCUUGGUUUUGGUUACACGCAAACACAACCAGAAAGUCCAAUUGGAGAGCAGGCAACUCCAUCAACUCAGCAUCAAGCAACACCAUCAACGCAGCAACGUUCUGCAAUAAUAGAGAAAGGAAAAUCCAACAAAGGAAAAAAUUGGUCUAGUGAUGAGGACAAGGUUCUCAUAGCAGCAUGGGCAAAUACAAGUUUGGAUAUUGUUGGGACUGAUCAAAACCGAGAUGCUUAUUGGGCUAAAAUUUCAGAGUACUACAACACACACAAGGAAUCGUCAUGGCCGGAGCGUAAUCCUAAUGCAAUCAAUUGCCGUUACACAUUGAUUAACAGAGAGACCUCCAAAUUUUGUGGUUGCCUUCAGCAGAUUUUAAAUAAGGAAGAAAGUGGAAGGACUAUAGCAGAAAAGACAAACGAUGCACACAUUCUGUUCAAGGAAAUGGAUGU